GAACGAUGAUGCCAGCUUGCUGGUGGAUUAGUGGCGAACGGGUGAGUAACACGUGAGUAACCUGCCCUUAACUCUGGGAUAAGCCUGGGAAACUGGGUCUAAUACCGGAUAUGACUCCUCAUCGCAUGGUGGGGGGUGGAAAGCUUUAUUGUGGUUUUGGAUGGACUCGCGGCCUAUCAGCUUGUUGGUGAGGUAAUGGCUCACCAAGGCGACNACGGGUAGCCGGCCUGAGAGGGUGACCGGCCACACUGGGACUGAGACACGGCCCANACUCCUACGGGAGGCAGCAGUGGGGAAUAUUGCACAAUGGGCGAAAGCCUGAUGCAGCGACGCCGCGUGAGGGAUGACGGCCUUCGGGUUGUAAACCUCUUUCAGUAGGGAAGAAGCGAAAGUGACGGUACCUGCAGAAGAAGCGCCGGCUAACUACGUGCCAGCAGCCGCGGUAAUACGUAGGGCGCAAGCGUUAUCCGGAAUUAUUGGGCGUAAAGAGCUCGUAGGCGGUUUGUCGCGUCUGCCGUGAAAGUCCGGGGCUCAACUCCGGAUCUGCGGUGGGUACGGGCAGACUAGAGUGAUGUAGGGGAGACUGGAAUUCCUGGUGUAGCGGUGAAAUGCGCAGAUAUCAGGAGGAACACCGAUGGCGAAGGCAGGUCUCUGGGCAUUAACUGACGCUGAGGAGCGAAAGCAUGGGGAGCGAACAGGAUUAGAUACCCUGGUAGUCCAUGCCGUAAACGUUGGGCACUAGGUGUGGGGGACAUUCCACGUUUUCCGCGCCGUAGCUAACGCAUUAAGUGCCCCGCCUGGGGAGUACGGCCGCAAGGCUAAAACUCAAAGGAAUUGACGGGGGCCCGCACAAGCGGCGGAGCAUGCGGAUUAAUUCGAUGCAACGCGAAGAACCUUACCAAGGCUUGACAUGAACCGGAAAUACCUGGAAACAGGUGCCCCGCUUGCGGUCGGUUUACAGGUGGUGCAUGGUUGUCGUCAGCUCGUGUCGUGAGAUGUUGGGUUAAGUCCCGCAACGAGCGCAACCCUCGUUCUAUGUUGCCAGCGCGUUAUGGCGGGGACUCAUAGGAGACUGCCGGGGUCAACUCGGAGGAAGGUGGGGACGACGUCAAAUCAUCAUGCCCCUUAUGUCUUGGGCUUCACGCAUGCUACAAUGGCCGGUACAAAGGGUUGCGAUACUGUGAGGUGGAGCUAAUCCCAAAAAGCCGGUCUCAGUUCGGAUUGGGGUCUGCAACUCGACCCCAUGAAGUCGGAGUCGCUAGUAAUCGCAGAUCAGCAACGCUGCGGUGAA
rnacentral:rRNA from 1 species